rnacentral:rRNA from 1 species
UACGAAGGGGGCUAGCGUUGUUCGGAAUCACUGGGCGUAAAGCGCACGCAGGCGGAUCGUUAAGUCAGGGGUGAAAUGCCGAGGCUCAACCUCGGAACUGCCUUUGAUACUGGCGAUCUUAGAGUCCGGGAGAGGUGAGUGGAACUCCGAGUGUAGAGGUGAAAUUCGUAGAUAUUCGGAGGAACACCAGUGGCGAAGGCGGCUCACUGGUCCGAUACUGACGCUGAGGUGCGAAAGCGUGGGGAGCAAACAGG